UUGGAGGGCAAGUCUGGUGCCAGCAGCCGCGGUAAUUCCAGCUCCAAUAGCGUAUAUUAAAGUUGUUGCAGUUAAAAAGCUCGUAGUUGAAUUUCGGGGUCAGUAGAUUGGUCGUGCCACUGGUAUGUACUGGUCUUACUGGCUCCUCCUUCCUGAUGAACCGUAAUGCCAUUAAUUUGGUGUUGCGGGGAGACUGGACUGUUACUUUGAAAAAAUUAGAGUGUUUAAAGCAGGCUAACGCUUGAAUACAUUAGCAUGGAAUAAUGAAAUAGGACGUUCGAUCUUAUUUUGUUGGUUUCUAAGAUUGACGUAAUGAUUAAUAGGGAUAGUUGGGGGCAUUAGUAUUCAAUUGUCAGAGGUGAAAUUCUUGGAUUUAUUGAAGACUAACUACUGCGAAAGCAUUUGCCAAGGAUGUUUUCAUUAAUCAAGAACGAAAGUUAGGGGACCGAAGACGAUCAGAUACCGUCGUAGUCUUAACCAUAAACUAUGCCGACUAGGGAUCGGAUGAUGUUAAUUUUUUAAUGACUCAUUCGGCGCCUUACGGGAAA
rnacentral:rRNA from 1 species